UGACAUGGAGCCUGUUGGAAUAGGGCC
rnacentral:piRNA from 1 species